UCUACUUCCGGGUCAGCUUGGCGAAUGUUGACUGUCGUAAGCGGCUAAUUUGAGCGACUACACACGACCUCGGAGGAGGAGAGAAUAAUGGAGGAGGACUUGGAAAACUUCUUGCGAUCAAGAAAUGUCGCUCAGGUGGACAUUACGCGCAUGAAAAGCGACAAGGUUGACAUGGAGAUAAUUUCUCUGAUGACUGAAGAGCAAAUGGGCAAAUAUAUCACUUCCUAUGGUGAUCGAAUAGCGGUCCUUUACUUUUAUCAACAAAAAAUGUCCAGGGGUGAUAAUGAAAUGCUCCUCCAAAGAUUGAGAGACAAAAUAAGAUCGAGGAAAAAAAGGUGUACUGGGUGGAUCUCCAAGUGUGCUCCAAAACCUUGAUGAGAGAAUGACAAGAUUUAAAAAUUUUAUUGGCUCUGUUGUUCAUUUGCACUUUUGAGAUGUAAAACAUCUGGCAUAGUUAACCACGUGAAGGGCAGUCUGCAAUUGUUUUCCAUUUGUGUAUUGUGCAUUAUUAAAAUGCAAUCGAUUCUGUGGUAGUUCUCCAUUCCUUCCAUUUUCUGCACCACUUAUUCUCAUGAUGGUUUCAGGCAAGAUGGGAGUUUUCAGUUUUACCCAAAGGUCUGAAGUUGUACAUUCCAUUUAAAAUGUUGAGAUUAAUGUUUGUAAGAUUUUGUCAAUGUGAAUAAAAUUUGUUCCAAAUCA